rfam:Triticum urartu cultivar G1812 contig640187, whole genome shotgun sequence.
GAAGUAUUUCCCCCGUUCUAAAUUACUUGUUUUGAAUUUGUUUAGAUACAAAUGUAUCUAGACUCAUUUUAGUGCUAAAUACCUCCGUAUACAAAUUUAAGACAAAUAAUUCGGAACGGAGGGAGUAUCUC